rnacentral:rRNA from 1 species
UACGUAGGUGGCAAGCGUUGUCCGGAAUUACUGGGUGUAAAGGGAGCGCAGACGGGAAGCCAAGUCAGCUGUGAAAACUACGGGCUUAACUUGUAGACUGCAGUUGAAACUGGUUUUCUUGAGUGAAGUAGAGGUUGGCGGAAUUCCGAGUGUAGCGGUGAAAUGCAUAGAUAUUCGGAGGUACACCGGUGGCGAAGGCGGCCAACUGGGCUUUAACUGACGCUGAGGCUCGAAAGUGUGGGGAGCAAACAGG